ensembl:antisense Gm37751 predicted gene, 37751
AGGCUGUCAAUAUACAAUUGUUGAGUGGAUGAUGGUAAAUACUGAAUGUCUCUCUAAAGACAAUAAUCAUGCAUAUAGCUAUGGAGACAUAAUAAUGUAAGUGAGGAAGAAAUUUUUCAUUAUGAUUUCUGAAUAUAUUCUUUCCAAAUGUAUAAUCCUAUAAGGUUUAUGUCACAUAUAGAGAAAAUUGGAAUGUUACUUUUUAGCAUUAUUACUCCAAAAUUAUUCUUUGGUUAUUCUUUCCCAAAGACUGUGUGCCAUAAUAUUAAUAUAUGGAAAGUUGCAGAAACAUGCUUUAGGCUUAUGUCUUUGAAUGUUCUAAGCAACAAUUUUCCAUAGACUAUUUUACAUUUUUCCCUUUUCCUUCCUCUUUCUAAACUUUCUUAUAUACCCUCCCUUGUUCUGAUUUAAAUUUAUGGCUUAUUUUCCUUUAAUUUGUGUGUGUGUGUGUGUGUGUGUGUGUGUGUGUGUGUGUGUGUGUGUGUGAACCUAAAUACAACCGGCUCAGGCUAUAUAGUGUUACUUGUAUAUACGUUUUCAGGGCUGGCCAUUUGGUAUUGAAUAACCAGUUGGUGUGCUCUUCCCUGGGGAAACUGUAACUCCUACUCUCAGCAUUCCUUGGUUGCCUGUAGUUCUUGAUCUAGGGUUGAGACCUCCUGAGCUUCCUUCCUUCCAUGUUAGCACAUCUAUUGGUGUUGUACUUUUACAGAGGAGAUUUUAAGGGGCUUUUCAGUAUAAUUGGAUGUUUAUCCAAUCAUUCACUUAAUCAUUAUGUAACCUCGGAAUUUAAUGUAAGAAGUAAAACAUCAUGUUAGAGGCUGUGGAGAUGGCUCAGUGAAUACAGUGCAUGCUGGGCAAGCUUGAGAACCUCACUUCAGAUCCCCAGUAUAUGCAUGCCCUAAAAGUCUAGCCAAAAAAAAUGAGCUACCUGAUUCAAAACAAAAUGUACAGAAUAAUUGAGGAAGACAACUAUCAUUAACUACUGUCCUCCACACCUACAUGCACAGGUGACUAUACCCAUACAUACACAUACAUCUGUGUGUGCGUCACUCACUCACUCACUAUCUAAUUCUGUGUGUGUGCAUCACUCACUCACUCACUCACUAUCUAUCUACCUACCUACCUACCUACCUACCUACCUACCUAUCUCAUCACACACAAAGAAACAUUCACAAAUUUAACAAGCUUUUGACUAAAUGG